rnacentral:rRNA from 1 species
AGUGUAGGCGGCUACUUAAGUCGGACGUGAAAGCCCAUGGCUCAACCAUGGAAUUGCGUCCGAAACUGCGGAGCUAGAGUACAGGAAGGGAGAGCGGAAUUCUUGGUGUAGCGGUGAAAUGCGUUGAUAUCAAGAAGAACACCGGUGGCGAAGGCGGCUCUCUGGAAUGUUACUGACGCUGAGGCACGAAAGUUGGGGGAGCAAACAGGAUUAGAUACCCUGGUAGUCC